rnacentral:tRNA from 1 species
AACAAAGAAGUAAAAAAAUUACAUUUAGUUUCGACCUAAAAUUAAGGAAAAAUAAUUCCUCAUGUUU